CCGGGGUUGCGUGUGCUCGCUAUCGACAAUGAUCCUGUCAGCCUCAAGGUCUUGGAGGUUCUCCUGCGCAUGCGCAACUACCGUCCAACAAUCGUGAGGGACGCGGUGAUGGCCCACCAGAUGCUUAGCGAGGGGAGGGACAAUUUCGAUCUGGUGGUCAGCGAUGUGUACCUGUCGGACAUGGACGGCUUCAAGCUUCUCAAGCUCAUCGACCUCGAGAUGGAUCUUCCCGUCAUCGUGUUAUCAGCGGACGAGAGGCCCGAGGCUAUGAAGAAAGGCAUAGCUCACGGAGCGUGCCAGUACCUGGUGAAACCGGUGCAAGCCAAGCACCUCGAUAUCAUGUGGCGGCAUGUCAUGGCGAGGAGAACCCCUCAACCAUGGAACCUCAGCAGCAGCAGCCGUAAUGCUGCCGCUGAGAAGGCGCAGCCUACAGGAGGACCCGGCGGCGGCGAGCAGGACGGUGCAAAGAGCACCAAGCGUGGAUGGACGAAGAGUCAUGAACAUGAUGAAGAUGGCCAUGAUGCGAACAAGGAGAACUUGUCACCAAACCCAUCGACCUGGAAGAAGCCGAGGACGACAUGGAGAAAUGAGCUGCAUGACAAGUUUGUGGAGGCUGUCAGUCAGAUCGGCAUCAAGAGGGCUGUUCCAUCGAAGAUACUGGCCGCCAUGAAUGUGGAUAACGUCUCCAGAGAGAGUGUUGGGAGUCAUCUUGCUGCCCAAAAACUGGAACUGGAUAGUCUCCCCACAAGGAUGGAUCAUCCGUCCGCGUUCGGAGCGCGUGGUGCCGGUGUCCAUGGUGGCAGCAUGCUCUCCAGGCCUUGGUUGUCGUGGCUGCUGCCGGGUUUGAGGCAGCGGCCCUCUUCCUCCAGCGCAUAUACAAACAGGACAAAUGGCACAGGGGCGUGGGACGCAUUUAGUUCCGGCCAUUCCCGCGGCGAGUCAUCCUACAUGGGCAUGCUGCGUGGCAAUCUACUGGGGGCAAACAGAGGCUUUCAGAGUAGUGGCAGCUCCCUUGCGGACAGAAAUAGACACAAUGGUGGGACGUCUUUGCCUGUGAAUCAGUUUUCAGUGCGGCCAUCUCGCCAACUGGGGUUCCAGCCUCCGGUUCAGAGGAGUCCGUAUGGCGACGCCCGGAACCGCCUAGGCAACUCCUGGCAAGCACCUAUGAAGUAUCCUGAUCUUAGCCGUGACUAUUGGAACAUCCCCAACAUCAACCAGCUCACAGGCCUUGCAGCCUCACCAGCUGGCCAGAUAGCUGGCCAAACACCGAUGAGUCUUGACAACCUGAAGAACCAAAUAGCAGCUUUCAUAAACAGCACAACAUCGAUGGCAGGUUCCGGUGAGGAGAUGGCGUCGUUUGACGGUGAUGUAGCCACCAACAACAGCACAAGCUCAGUACAGGUGCUGAAUGGUGACCUCGCAAUCGACGGCAACACAAGCUCGGUAGAGAUGUUGAAUGGUGACCUCUCAAUCGACGACAACACAAGCUGGGUAGAGAUGCUGAAUGGUUACCUCGCAAUGGACGGCGGCACAAGCUUGGUGGAGAUGCCGAAUGGUAACUUCGCACUUGGUAGUGCUUCAAGCAUCCGUGCUGCAAUGCCUGACCUUCAGAUGGGCAUUUCUGCCGCGCCAACUCGGAUGCUGAAUGAUGGUGGUGCAGGCGGCGUUCUCCCUGCGCAAGCACAAGGCACAGCUGAUCAGGAAGCUGUUGAUGGUCAACUGAAUAUCGACAGUGAUGAUUUCUUGGAAGCUGUUGUUGAUAGUUUUUCGAUGGAUGAC
rnacentral:rRNA from 1 species